rfam:Roseovarius nanhaiticus strain DSM 29590 genome assembly, contig: Ga0104494_113
GGCGUAUUUUGCCCAGGCGGAGCUCGACCGCCCGUUCCGCAAAUGAUCGCUUUCAUUGAAGCGCACCGUGAGGUCUUCGGAGUCGAGCCGAUCUGCCGCGUUCUGCCGAUCGCCCCU